GACGAACCGAGCGAACGUUGUUCGGAAUCACUGGGCUUAAAGGGCGCGUAGGCGGGCUGUCAAGUCUGGGGUGAAAUCCCGCGGCUCAACCGUGGAACUGCCUCAGAUACUGACGGUCUCGAGGGAGGUAGGGGCGAGCGGAACUGAUGGUGGAGCGGUGAAAUGCUUAGAUAUCGUCAAGAACACCUAGAGCGAAGGCAGCUUACUAGGCUGUAACUGACGCUGAGGCACGAAAGUGUGGGGAUCAAACAGG
rnacentral:rRNA from 1 species